UACGUAGGUGACAAGCGUUGUCCGGAUUUACUGGGCGUAAAGAGCGCGCAGGCGGUCGAUCAAGUCGAGUGUGAAAGCCCCCGGCUCAACUGGGGAGGGUCAUUCGAUACUGAUCGACUCGAAGGCAGGAGAGGGUAGUGGAAUUCCCGGUGUAGUGGUGAAAUUCGUAGAUAUUCGGAAGAACACCAGUGGCGAAGGCGACUUACUGGACACAUAUUGACGCUGAGGUGCGAAAGCGUGGGGAGCAAACAGG
rnacentral:rRNA from 1 species